UGCAGUCGAACGAAGGCUUCGGCCUUAGUGGCGCACGGGUGCGUAACGCGUGGGAAUCUGCCUUGGGGUACGGAAUAACAGUUAGAAAUGACUGCUAAUACCGUAUGAUGUCUUCGGACCAAAGAUUUAUCGCCCUGAGAUGAGCCCGCGUAGGAUUAGCUAGUUGGUGGGGUAAAGGCCUACCAAGGCGACGAUCCUUAGCUGGUCUGAGAGGAUGAUCAGCCACACUGGGACUGAGACACGGCCCAGACUCCUACGGGAGGCAGCAGUGGGGAAUAUUGGACAAUGGGCGAAAGCCUGAUCCAGCAAUGCCGCGUGAGUGAUGAAGGCCUUAGGGUUGUAAAGCUCUUUUACCCGGGAAGAUAAUGACUGUACCGGGAGAAUAAGCCCCGGCUAACUCCGUGCCAGCAGCCGCGGUAAUACGGAGGGGGCUAGCGUUGUUCGGAAUUACUGGGCGUAAAGCGCACGUAGGCGGCUUUGUAAGUCAGAGGUGAAAGCCCGGGGCUCAACCCCGGAAUUGCCUUUGAGACUGCAUCGCUUGAAUCC
rnacentral:rRNA from 1 species